UUUAGUCAAGUAUUGAGUAGCAUAGGCACCAAACGAGAGAAAAAGUAAAAACAAUUAUAGUUGUGAAGUUCCUAACUCUAUAAGAGCUCAAAUUUGUGCCUACCCAAAUGGAUUUUGAGGAAGAUGAAGCCUUCUAUCAACACCCAAAACAAAGCAAAUCCAUUAACCAUUCUCAACUUCAAUUCAAGAUUCAAUCUUGAAAAUCCCUAUUCUGCCAGCAGAACUCAUCACUGAAAUACUCUUAAGGCUACCAGUGAAAUCCCUAUUGAAAUUCAAAUCUGUUUCCAAAUCUUGGCUUUCUUUAAUCUCUACCCCUGAAUUUGUCAAAACCCAUCUUAGUAUAUCUGCUAAUAACAAAUAUUACACUCACCACAGGCUUGUGUUGACCCAAUACAGGUUCGUGCCUGUUUAUGAAUCUCAAUACGAUCUUAAAAACUGUUCUCUUAAUUAUUUACUUAAUGAUGACUCUGUGACUGAGGAAUAUGACUUGGAUUAUCUCAUGAAUGACACCCGCAAAAAUGUUGGGUUUGUGGGUUCGGUCAAUGGAUUGAUUUGUCUUGACAUUGGGCCAACUGACUUGUUAAUAUGGAAUCCAUCAAUUAGGAAGUUCAAGAAAUUUCCUAAUUCUAGACCUACAUUGAUGAGGCUUGAUUGACAUAUAUAUAUGGUUUUGGAUAUGAUGAGUUUCAUGAUUGAUGAUUAUAAGGUAGGACGUGUUUUCAGUUCUACAAGUUCAGAUGAAGUUGAUGAGGUCCACAUAUUACAUAUAUAGUCUAAAAAGUGAUUCUUGGACAAGUGUUGAUGAUAGCCAGAGUGUGGGGCUAUUACGUGAUUCAGGUAAGUUUGUGAACGGGAAACUUCAUUGGUCUUAAUAUGUAUGAGGGCUGGAACAUCAUGUCUUUUGAUUUGACUAAUGAGAAAUGGAGAAAGGUGGAGCGGCCCUGCUAUUUAGGAGGAGAUACUAUUCCAUCGCUGGGAGUUUUAGGAAGUGAUCUUUCUGUGUUUUCUUAUGCUAUGGGAAGUCACGCAGAUGUGUGGGUUAUGAAAGAGUAUGGAGUUAAAGGGUCUUGGACAAAAAUGUAUACCGUCAGAUAUCCUAUGUUUCGUCUUCUUAUUUGUCCCACACUUUGCAUGUCAAACAAGGUGAAAUAUUGCUCGUCUCCGGAGCAACUAUUAUGAUACACAAUCCACAGGAUGAAUCGAUCAGAUAUCUAAAGGGUCCUUUCUUUGAUGACUGAAAUACGUCAAACAUCUACGUUGAAAGCCUAGUUUGUCCCCUUUUACAAAAGAAACCAAGCACACAACAAGAAUGAAGGCUGCAGAAGCUCAGACGAAUGACAAUGAUGUAGCGAAUGACUUGAGGUGAAAAGCUGAUGUUGAAGAACAAAAUCCAUCCCCUGCUGGCUGCACUAAUCAAAGCGAUGCUUCCCUGUUAUCAAUGUUCACUGAAUGGACUAUUACCUAUGUUCGCUAAUUGCAUAUCCCACUUUAUCAGUUCUUGUAGCUUAAAUGCAUCAUUAUAAGGUUGAACAAGCUUCUCCCUUCCCUUGAACAUCUGUUGUAUGUAGUAUCUUGUCAUUGUCGUGACAAAAAGUUGAACAAGCUUCUCCCACGUUUGAAUUUAUUUUGUAUGUAGUAUCUUUAGAUUGAUCUGACCUACAAGUAUUUCUUUCCUCUGCUACUUAUAUAUAUGACGAUGUUAUCAAUGAUCUUUUCAACUUGUAAUGAAUAUCCAGUGAUACAUGGUGAAAUGGAAGAAGGUUUGAAAAAUGCUUAUUCAGUA